UACAGAGGUCCCAAGCGUUGUUCGGAUUCACUGGGCGUAAAGGGUGCGUAGGUGGCCAGGUAAGUUUGGUGUGAAAGCUCGGAGCUUAACUCCGAAAAGUCAUUGGAUACUAUCUGGCUGGAGGGUCGGAGGGGAGACUGGAAUUCUCGGUGUAGCAGUGAAAUGCGUAGAUAUCGAGAGGAACACCAGUGGCGAAGGCGAGUCUCUGGACAUUUCCUGACGCUGAGGCACGAAAGCCAGGGGAGCAAACGGG
rnacentral:rRNA from 1 species